rnacentral:rRNA from 1 species
AUUGAACGCUGGCGGCAGGCCUAACACAUGCAAGUCGAACGUGAAAGCUCCUUCGGGAGUAAGUAGAGUGGCGAACGGGUGAGUAACGCGUAGAAAUCUACCCAAGAGUGGGGAACAACCCGGAGAAAUCCGGGCUAAUACCGCAUACACCCUACGGGGCAAAGUGGGGGACCUUUCGGGGCCUCACGCUUUUGGAUGAGUCUGCGUCGGAUUAGUUUGUUGGUAGGGUAAUGGCCUACCAAGGCGACGAUCCGUAGCUGGUCUGAGAGGAUGACCAGCCACACUGGGACUGAGACACGGCCCAGACUCCUACGGGAGGCAGCAGUGGGGAAUAUUGGACAAUGGGGGCAACCCUGAUCCAGCCAUGCCGCGUGUGUGAAGAAGGCCUUCGGGUUGUAAAGCACUUUCAGUAGAGAAGAAAAGCCUAAGGAUAAUACCCUUGGGUCUUGACGGUACUUACAGAAGAAGCACCGGCUAAUUCCGUGCCAGCCGCCGCAGUA